AACGAACGCUGGCGGCAUGCCUAACACAUGCAAGUCGAACGAGAUCUUCGGGUCUAGUGGCGCACGGGUGCGUAACGCGUGGGAAUCUGCCCUUUGGUUCGGAAUAACAGUUGGAAACGACUGCUAAUACCGGAUGAUGACGAAAGUCCAAAGAUUUAUCGCCAGAGGAUGAGCCCGCGUAGGAUUAGCUAGUUGGUGUGGUAAAGGCGCACCAGGGCGACGAUCCUUAGCUGGUCUGAGAGGAUGAUCAGCCACACUGGGACUGAGACACGGCCCAGACUCCUACGGGAGGCGGCAGUGGGGAAUAUUGGACAAUGGGCGAAAGCCUGAUCCAGCAAUGCCGCGUGAGUGAUGAAGGCCUUAGGGUUGUAAAGCUCUUUUACCCGGGAUGAUAAUGACAGUACCGGGAGAAUAAGCUCCGGCUAACUCCGUGCCAGCAGCCGCCGCGG
rnacentral:rRNA from 1 species